AUGCACGCUGGCGGCGUGCUUAACCCAUGCAAGUCGCACGGAACUACUCCAAUGAGAGUCUUCGGAAAGGAUUUGGUUUAGUUUAGUGGCGGACGGGUGAGUAACGCGUGGGUAACCUGCCCUAUACAGGGGGAUAACAGUUGGAAACGACUGUUAAUACCGCAUAAGCGCACAGGAGCGCAUGCUCCGGUGUGAAAAACUCCGGUGGUAUAGGAUGGACCCGCGUCUGAUUAGCUGGUUGGCGGGGUAACGGCCCACCAAGGCGACGAUCAGUAGCUGGCCUGAGAGGGUGAACGGCCACAUUGGGACUGAGACACGGCCCAAACUCCUACGGGAGGCAGCAGUGGGGAAUAUUGCACAAUGGGGGAAACCCUGAUGCAGCGACGCCGCGUGAGCGAAGAAGUAUCUCGGUAUGUAAAGCUCUAUCAGCAGGGAAGAAAAUGACGGUACCUGACUAAGAAGCCCCGGCUAACUACGUG
rnacentral:rRNA from 1 species